rnacentral:rRNA from 1 species
AUUGAACGCUGGCGGCAUGCCUUACACAUGCAAGUCGAACGGCAGCACGGGAGCAAUCCUGGUGGCGAGUGGCGAACGGGUGAGUAAUAUAUCGGAACGUGCCCAGUGAUGGGGGAUAGCCCGGCGAAAGCCGGAUUAAUACCGCAUACGACCUACGGGUGAAAGCAGGGGAUCGCAAGACCUUGCGUCAUUGGAGCGGCCGAUAUCAGAUUAGCUUGNGGUGGGGUAAAGCCUACCAAGGCGACGAUCUGUAGCUGGUCUGAGAGGACGACCAGCCACACUGGGACUGAGACACGGCCCAGACUCCUACGGGAGGCAGCAGUGGGAAUUUUGGACAAUGGCGCAAGCCUGAUCCAGCCAUGCCGCGUGCGGG